rnacentral:hammerhead_ribozyme from 1 species
AUUUAGCUGACUAGUCUUAAAUAGGACGAAACGCACUUCCUGAAU